UUUCAGAAGACUUCUAGUUAUCAUCAAGGGGUGAUUAUCUUAUACUUUGUUCCAAGUUGGUUUGUAGACUUUGUGUAUUGGUUAUUUCAAACUUAAUACUAAAAUAACAUUAGUCUUUUUAUUCUAUGCAAGUUCUAGACCUAGGCACCAACCUGCAUUAAAUCAGAUAUUCCUGCACAUCUUUUUAUUGUAUUCCUUGUACAGGAGUAACUAUGAGCCCCUCAUAUUUGUGGAUUAAGAGGCUUUGCAACCAACUAUGAAUGGAGUUGAAUUGGAGCACACACUAAAUCACAGUAAUGUGUCUAGAACAAGAAAUAUGUGUACAUGUAGCUGGAUUUUGUUAUGAACAUUACUGAUGUAGUUGGCUUACCUCCUGUACUCCCUUAUUUGCAAACAUAUAUUGUAAAUCAGCAGACCUUGAUUGACUGGUUAAUCCAGUUGAAAAAUGUGUAAAAGUAUUAUGAUAUAUAUAAUUUAUAUUUCUGAUA